rnacentral:rRNA from 1 species
GAUGAACGCUGGCGGCGUGCCUAAUACAUGCAAGUCGAGCGAACAGACGAGGAGCUUGCUCCUCUGACGUUAGCGGCGGACGGGUGAGUAACACGUGGAUAACCUACCUAUAAGACUGGGAUAACUUCGGGAAACCGGAGCUAAUACCGGAUAAUAUAUUUAACCGCAUGGUUCAAUAGUGAAAGACGGUUUUGCUGUCACUUAUAGAUAGAUCCGCGCCGCAUUAGCUAGUUGGUAAGGUAACGGCUUACCAAGGCGACGAUGCGUAGCCGACCUGAAAGGGGGAUCGCCCCCACUGGAACUGAGACACGGUCCAGAUUCCUCCGGGAGGCAGCAGUAGGGAAUCUUCCGCAAUGGGCGAAAGCCUGACGGAGCAACGCCGCGUGAGUGAUGAAGGUCUUCGGAUCGUAAACCUCUGUUAUUAGGGAAGAACAAAUGUGUAAGUAACUACGCACGUCUUGACGGUACCUAAUCAGAAAGCCACGGCUAACUACGUG